rnacentral:rRNA from 1 species
UACGUAGGUGGCAAGCGUUGUCCGGAAUUAUUGGGCGUAAAGCGCACGCAGGUGGUUUAAUAAGUCUGAUGUAAAAGCCCACGGCUCAACCGUGGAAGGGCAUUGGAAACUGUUAAACUGGAGUGCAGGAGAGAAAAGUGGAAUUCCUAGUGUAGCGGUGAAAUGCGUAGAGAUUAGGAGGAACACCGGUGGCGAAGGCGGCUUUUUGGCCUGAAACUGACGCUGAGGCGCGAAAGCGUGGGGAGCGAACAGG